UAUAAGUUUUUAAUAUACUUGAGGUGAGGUGACGUAUUUCCUUUAUUGAAACCCUAAUUUUUCCAUUUUGUUAAUGGAGCUUGUUGUCGAAUUCCCCUCAAAGCUUGCUACCCAGCAAAUUUUGUUGAAUGCCUACUCUGUAACUAUGGAUGAUUCAAAAUCCUAAUACAUUGCAUGAAUGCAAUCCCUUAAUUGAAUCUUUAAUCCCUUUUUGUGAACUCACAAUCCUUCGUGUGAAGUCUCAAUCCCUUCCAUUAACCCUUAAUCCCUUCCGCGAAGCCAAAAUCUCAAGCAAGGUUGAGAGUUUAUGUUAUUAGCUCCAGGUAUUGCGACGGAGAAGUAUUUGGAGGCGUUAAAGUUUCCGAUUUGGGCUCUGGUUGUUCGUGAAGGGGGUUGAAAUUUCUUCCCCAACUGGUUACUUGCCUGGCUGUAGUAGUAGAUUCAAUGUGUUAUUUUAUAAAUAUAUUAUUUCAAUUAGCACAAAAAAUGAAGAUUGCUCUGCAGAUUUUUUAUAAUUUGUAUGUUUGAGUUCCAAAUAGAAGUUAUUUAUGGUAAUGUGUAUGUUGCUCUGAAGUAGAAGCUAGUUGCUGUAAUGUAUUUGAUUUGUGAAGUUUAGUUAGCUGAAAUUGUGAAAUGGUAUUUAUUUUUAUUUUACCUCUUUCCAGUAAGGUUUAUUAUCUGUAUAUGAGGGACUGUUUCUCUUCCAUCUUGUAGGGCAACAGAAUCUUUACAUUUGAUCAAUUCCAACAACACCACUCCUAUAAACGUCGAUUUUGGUAGUGACCAUCCCUGCUCCUAGAUAUUCUGGAGCCACAUAACCGCUCGACACACCUGAAAAGGCACAACUUGAAGUUCUUUUCCUUUGUGAUUCUUCAGCAAGAGCAAAAUUUGGACUGCAAAAAUUCUGACAAUGAUAUUGGAAAUUUAGAAGAAUUCAUUUCAUUUGUCUCUCCAUCACUUGGAGCUUCAGCUGCCGUUUUCCAUGAGCUUCUACUGAAAUGCCUCCAUGAUUGGUUUUGUUAUUUACAAGUCUUUUUUUUAAUAAUUUGAAUUCAAUUUUUUUUUUUACCAAAAAACAUUGGAACAUUAAUCAUGACCUAGAGGAAUUUAAGCAAAAAUUAAGAAUGACAAAAGAUUUCCAUAUGUCGAAGAUCUUAAAUUACCAGUGAAUUUUGGAAUAGUAGAGUUGCACCAUAUAAUUUGUUUGUUCUCCUUAUAAUCGGUUGCAUGGAGAGCACACAACGGAGGGUGAUGUGAAACCUUAGAACAAAACAUGUGUAUGCCUAUCUUAAUUAGGUCGUUCCAAAUAAUGUCUCCCAUUGUGACCAGCCAGGCACUCCUCGCGACUAUGUCACAAUAAUCCCUAGCAGCCAUGCUAAUAUUUGAAUAUACAACUUUGUAUGAUGUGUGGUAUUAUUAAUUUGUCCUUUUUCGGGUAAAUAAAAAAGAACCAACCUAAAAUUGUAGUGCAACUUUUAUUUUGAUUCCCUUUUGUAAAUGAAAUUGUUAUUUGUUUCUGACUAAUUUUGUAUGAUGUAUAAUAUGCUUGAUUCUUUUGUAUACAAUGUGAUUGUCAGAAAAUCCUCUAGCCACCAGUUCUCAGGUUUCAUUUGCUAAAAUAUGGAUUUAGACCUAACUACCGGGUAUUGGUUCAUCAUGGUGAAGAAGGAUCUAGUAUGGAGAACUUAGGUUAAAUAAUUUAAUUUGUUUCUUUUAAUUCUUCUACUUUAACAUGGGUGAAGCAGAUAUUACUUUAGUGUUGAUUAAGUCAAUAUUACCUUUAAUUCAUAUUA